UGUAUGCGCGUGCUAUACAUGCAGUCGAGCGAACUGAUUAGAAGCUUGCUUCUAUGACGUUAGCGGCGGACGGGUGAGUAACACGUGGGCAACCUGCCUGUAAGACUGGGAUAACUUCGGGAAACCGAAGCUAAUACCGGAUAGGAUCUUCUCCUUCAUGGGAGAUGAUUGAAAGAUGGUUUCGGCUAUCACUUACAGAUGGGCCCGCGGUGCAUUAGCUAGUUGGUGAGGUAACGGCUCACCAAGGCAACGAUGCAUAGCCGACCUGAGAGGGUGAUCGGCCACACUGGGACUGAGACACGGCCCAGACUCCUACGGGAGGCAGCAGUAGGGAAUCUUCCGCAAUGGACGAAAGUCUGACGGAGCAACGCCGCGUGAGUGAUGAAGGCUUUCGGGUCGUAAAACUCUGUUGUUAGGGAAGAACAAGUACGAGAGUAACUGCUCGUACCGUGAGGGUACCUAACCAGAAAGCCACGGCUAACUACGUGCCAGCAGCCGCGGUAAUACGUAGGUGGCAAGCGUUAUCCGGAAUUAUUGGGCGUAAAGCGCGCGCAGGCGGUUUCUUAAGUCUGAUGUGAAAGCCCACGGCUCAACCGUGGAGGGUCAUUGGAAACUGGGGAACUUGAGUGCAGAAGAGAAAAGCGGAACUCCACGUGUAGCGGUGAAAUGCCUAGAU
rnacentral:rRNA from 1 species